ACAGAGCAGAAACGUUUUGAGAACUCAUAUCCCCCCCAAAUUUUUUUUUUUCACUUAACUCUACGUUAAAUAGAAUUUUAGUUGAUGAAGCGCUACUGAGGAAGGAUGUAGACAGAAAUCACAUAAUGCAACUGUUUACUGUGAAGGAUGUGAAGACUCUGCCUCCUGUAUGUUUUCUACUUGGAGUAUUUCUAUGCUGCGUAGAAAGGCCUCUCCUUCCAUUUUCUAAGUGAGGCCGCUAAAAGGCAUUUAAAAAUGAACAUUCGUUGAAUCAUAAUCCUAUAAACUUCUCCUGCAUCAUUAGGUCAUAAAAGAUACAACCAGUACUAGGUACGCCUAGCGCUUUGGUUGACGCAACACAAAUCACGAGUGUCAACCACCAAACCCUAACAGCAAUUCAGGACAACCUGGGCCUCAUCCACUAAUCGGCACAACAGCGGCGCAGCUAGGAAAUGAAUACUAAAAUCCCCAAAUCGAGGAAGAAUUUCCAUAGCAGCUGCUCUCUACCCCUCCACGUUGGCAGAAUGAGGGAUCCAUCAAUUAUCGCAAAAUUUUGAAAGUCUCCAGCUUCACCAUGAAGACUCUGUUGUGCUUAUUUUUAUGUGAAGGGAAACGCUAGCGUGGUGAGUGCCCAGGAGAGUCGUUAGGGGAAGACAGCGGUGCGCCAUCAAUGGUGCUGGACUGUUUCCACGUGGCACUGGACUCUUCUCUCCAGCCAAGACCCAUCAACGCAAAUAGGAGGGACGUGAAUUAACCGUGGAGCCUGUGCAGUCACUAUGAAGAGCAACUGUGCGGUCUAGUUUUCAAGACCCAUGCUACCCAAACACAUUUUUCUGCAUUACAUAAUGUUAUCAUUUAAAUAUUGUCAUUCAAAUGUGAAGACCAGCUGUGCAUUUCAGGACACAGCUGUCGGGUUGAGGUACAGAUAAGCCAUCUGGUGCUCGGUUCUGGGUGGUUAAAUUCCAGCCGGGGAUUUAACUUCAUAUCCAGCUGUGAUAAAGUAAAUUGAAGGCUGCAUAUUAUUCUUUAGAAAUCGCCCCUUUGGGAUAGUCCGCAGACAUAAAUUUUAGCCAGAGGUGUCAUUGAUUGGCUCUACGCUCUCAAUGAUAGCCUUGGCCAACAUCAAGCCAAAUAAAAAAAAAAAACUGUUCGGUCCUUUUA